rnacentral:rRNA from 1 species
UACGUAGGUGGCAAGCGUUGUCCGGAUUUACUGGGCGUAAAGAGCGCGCAGGCGGUCGUUCAAGUCGCGUGUGAAAGCCCCCGGCUCAACUGGGGAGGGUCACGCGAUACUGAUCGACUCGAAGGCAGGAGAGGGAAGUGGAAUUCCCGGUGUAGUGGUGAAAUGCGUUGAUAUCGAACGGAACUCCGGUGGCGAAGGCGACACACUGGACCUCAACUGACGCUGAGGCGCGAAAGCCAGGGGAGCAAACGGG